rnacentral:rRNA from 1 species
AUUGAACGCUGGCGGCAGGCUUAACACAUGCAAGUCGAGCGAGCGGCGGACGGGUGAGUAAUGUCUGGGAAACUGCAUGAUGGAGGGGGAUAACUACUGGAAACGGUAGCUACUACCGCAUACCAUCAGAUGUGCCCAGAUGUGAUUAGCUAGUAGGUGGGGUAAUGGCUAACCUAGGCGACGAUCCCUAGCUGGUCUGAGAGGGUGACCAGCCACACUGGAACUGAGACACGGUCCAGACUCCUACGGGAGGCAGCAGUGGGGAAUAUUGCGCAAUGGGCGAAAGCCUGAUGCAGCAAUGCCGCGUGUGUGAAGAAGGCUUUCGGGUUGUAAAGCACUGUCAGCGGGGAGGCGGUACUCGCAGAAGAAGCACCGGCUAACUCCGUGCCAGCCGCCGCGGUAAUAC